CCUUGGUGAUGACCUACCCACAUGUCUUACGCCUUGUCAAUGCCAGACCUGCAAAGGUGAACCCACUGGUCUUGCCAGGGCAAGAAGGGGACAAUUCGUUGGGGUUUCCAACAGUCUGAAAGGA